rnacentral:rRNA from 1 species
AGAGUUUGAUCAUGGCUCAGAUUGAACGCUGGCGGAAUGCUUUACACAUGCAAGUCGAACGGCAGCACGGGGGCAACCCUGGUGGCGAGUGGCGAACGGGUGAGUAAUACAUCGGAACGUGCCCAGUCGUGGGGGAUAACGUAGCGAAAGCUACGCUAAUACCGCAUACGAACUCUGGUUGAAAGCGGGGGAUCGCAAGACCUCGCGCGAUUGGAGCGGCCGAUGGCAGAUUAGGUAGUUGGUGGGGUAAAGGCCUACCAAGCCGACGAUCUGUAGCUGGUCUGAGAGGACGACCAGCCACACUGGGACUGAGACACGGCCCAGACUCCUACGGGAGGCAGCAGUGGGGAAUUUUGGACAAUGGGCGCAAGCCUGAUCCAGCCAUUCCGCGUGCAGGAUGAAGGCCCUCGGGUUGUAAACUGCUUUUGGACGGAACGAAAAGGCCUUUUCUAAUACAGAGGGCUCAUGACGGUACCGUCAGAAUAAGCACCGGCUAACUACGUGCCAGCCGCCGCGGUAAUAC